AUACGUAGGGAGCGAGCGUUGUCCGGAAUUACUGGGCGUAAAGGGCGCGUAGGCGGCGCUUCAAGUCGUCUGUCAAAUGGGAGGGCUUAACCCUUUUUCGCAGACGAAACUGGAGAGCUUGAGAAGCAGAGAGGCAAACAGAAUUCCUGGUGUAGCGGUGAAAUGCGUAGAUAUCAGGAAGAAUACCAGUGGCGAAGGCGGUUGGCGGGCUGCAUACUGACGCUGAAGCGCGAAAGCCGGGGGAGCAAACGGGAUUAGAUACCCCGGUAGUCCUGGCAGUAAGCGAUGUAUGCUGGGUGUGGGAGUAGCGAUACCUCCGUGCAGAAGUUAACGCGAUAAGCAUACCGCCUGGGGAGUACGGUCGCAAGAUUGAAACUCAAAUGAAUUGGCGGGG
rnacentral:rRNA from 1 species